UGUUUCUAGAGGCAGCUUGCAUCGUCACUACGUUGAAUACUUUCAUAUUUGAAUAUUUUCUGUAAAGCUGCUUUGAAACGAUAUGUAUUGUGAAAAGCGCUAUACAAAGAAAUGUGAAUUGAAUUGAAUUGAAUACGCAUGAAGAAGUAGUAGUAGUAGUAGUAGUCGUCUGGUUUAUUAGAAUCAGAGACCGUUCUUUGUUAGAAGUAAGAAGAAACCUCAUUGCUUGACUGGCUACUCUCUGCUGUCUCAGACGACGACAUCUUUGUCUUGUGUCGGCCAGACGGCCACCGUAGCUUCUCUAUGUGCUUUGAAAGGGAGGGGUGAACGCCGUUGGUUGCAGUUCGCAACCUCACCGCUAGAUGCCGCUAAAGUUUACACACUGUACCUUUAAGGGCUCUUUUAAUUGGAUCAGAAACAUACAGCGCAACCAGUGUAGUCCAAUUCCCCAGCAAAUGACUCUUAUGUGCUAGCUCUUUUUAGUGAAUCUAACAGAAACAGGUGCAACAACUGUAGUCCGAUUACACGAUAAAUGACUCCAAAGAGUCUGCUCAUUUUAACAAUUCAGAAAGUCAUGUGUAAGUCAGCUCUCUAGGUUUUUAAAGAGUUUUUUUGUUGUUGUUUAAAAAAAGAUGAACUCACUCAAUGAAAACAACAACUAAGGCUCUCUGUGUCCUGGACUGCAAUCCAAGUUAUGACAGCAGUUGUUGCAAUUGCUCAUGUAUCUUUGCAGCCAAUUUUUGCUUGCAUCAGAAAGAGCUGUUCAGCUGUCAAAUCACAGUGCAGUGUCCUAUUAUCUGCCUGUAAAUUCACAAUAACCCACUGUUUCUAACCUCUCAAUGUUUCUUCUUUCCUGCAUGAGGUCCGUUCACUGCAUCUCAAAGGAGUACUACGCUGCAGAAGAGGCGUUGGCUGUAGGAUAUUAGAGCCGCAGAAUUCCAAGGAGAAAUAUCCAAACGUUCCGUGAUCUCCUAUUGUGAUGGUUGGCUCAACUCAAGAGAGACGCCUUUCUCUGUUGCCAGAUAAACAUGCUCCACCAUCACUAUAAAUUAAUGAAGUCUGCCCUAUUGGGUGGAGACGGCUUCCAGCGUCCCUUUUUGUAGCUGAAAAAUACGAUACUUUUAAAAUGAAGGUAUGACUGCGAUGGAAAAAGCAACAGAGACUGCGGCACUGCAGGCUCUCAGACUCACAGACCUUCAGACACAGCUUUCAUCAUUAAAGACCCAUCAGAGCCCGUGAACGGCCCUUACCUCUGGAUAAAACCCAAAUAAUAAUCAAUCAAAAGGCUGACCGGCCAAGACAAACACAAAGCCCCUGUUUUCCCACAGAGAGCAGAGAACUCAUGCCUUGAAAGUAUACAGCAUGAAACCUCUAUGAAAAUGGCAAGUUUGUUUUACUUAUUGCUCACGUGCCCAUUUUUUGACAGAAAGAUAUUUUAAUUAUAUCGACUCUGUCUACCUUUCAUCAACAUUUCAGCCCUUUUUAGUGCAUCUGUUGUGCACUGCAACACUUUUAAUGAAAAGUUAAUGAAAAGGUGACAGAAUGUGAGACUGUGCUUGUGGACAGAUGGAUGAUAUUAAGUCAUGAGGUGGGGGAGAUGGAGGUCAAUUACCCAAUCCAUUAAGACCUCCACCUGUUAGCUUCCACGAAUAGACAUCUAGACGACAAAAAGGCCACAACUUAAGCUUUGUGCAAUGAGGUAAGCGUAUAGCAUUUGAUUUUUAUUCACUCCACCCUAAACCAGGGCUGGAGAAUUUACAGUAAGUGAGCACACUGCACACAGUACAAUAUCCCACAAUGCAGUGCACUAGACUUGACCUUCCAGUGUGAUGAGUGAAAUGUGAGUAAUAUUGGCCAGCAUCCUUUCAAAACAUUUUUAAUAUUUUUAAAAGUCUCUUAUGCUCGCCAAGGCUGCAUUUAUUUGAUCAAAAAUACAGUAUUAUUACAAUUUAAAAAUAACUUUUCUAUUUUAAUAUAUUUUUUAAUUAAAUUUAUUCCUGUGAGGGCAAAGCUGAAUUUCAAUUACCAUUACUAUAGAGUCACAUGAUCCUUCAGAAAUGAUUCUAAUAUGCUGAUUUGGUGUUUAAGAAACAUUUCCUGUUAUUAUCAGUGUUGAAAACAGUUGUGCUGCUUAAUAUUUUUGUGUAAACCAUGAUGUUUUUCAGGAAUCUUUGAUAAAUAGAAAGUUUAAAACAGCAUUUAGUGAAAUAGAUUUUUUUUUUAAAGCUGCAGUCCGUAAGUUUUGCCUCGUUGUCGCCAUCUCUGUUUGAAACCUGCAAUUGCAGUUAUUUGCAACAUCUGUUGUGCAUUGACACGGCUCCUCAGCGUGGAUGAAUCUAAUGUUUGCUGUCAGUCACCGUACCGGUGUGGAUACUGUACUUCAGAAUCACAGAUUCUGCGUCUUGGAAGUAUGACCAAAAUAAGAAUUUUCACCGGAAAAUGUCAUCUGAACAAGUUAGUAACAGUAGAUUUCAAUUUCUGUAGCCACUCUGCAGUCCGAAGUCUUUUGCUUUUGACUACAGGUGAAUCUGCAGUUGUCACUGAUGAUUGUCAUUUAGACCUUUCUGGAUUACAAUCCGCCAUCAAAAUGAUACAUUUAGUUAUUCCAGCUGCUGUGAGAAAAGGCUAGAAAUGAUCCGCAGCCUGCAGAAUCCGCCACAUGCGAUAUAGCCUACUAGCUGGGACUCGUUCUAUAUGUAAACAGACGUGACGUAAUGACGCAAAGACGAAAGUCUGCAUGCUCGAAUUUCCCGCAGAAACCCACCAGUACCAUCUGGAUUAGAAAACAUUAUUACAAGCUUACCGUUGUGAAUCGGGCUAAGGUAAGGAGAUAGUUUUGAACACUGGCUGGUUAUGUACUUGCUCAAAAGUUGAUUUUGGACAAUUGUUAAUUUACGGACUGCAGCUUUAACAGUAUAAAUGUCUUUUUUUGCUGAAUAAAAGUAUUAAUUUCUUUUUUUUUAAACUUACUGACACCAAACUUUUGAACGGUAGUGUCCUUUUGCAAAAGUAUUGCGUUCUCCUAAGAAACUUUGCGUUUUGCGAACAGGGGAGCGCAAUACUUUUGUGGGCGAACACAAAAAGCACUGAAAUUAACCCUGCCCCCUCUAAUUUUUUUCUAUAACUAUAUCACUUUAGGCUGGGGCUCCAUUGAGAUAUAAAAUUUCGUAAUUCUUUGAAUGCCAAAACAUCAUUUGCUACAAUCACAGACAUCAGUGGUCACAAGGCCUAAUUGCUGCAUUGACUUCUCAAUUCUGGCGUUAAUGUGACUAGCAUUGUCACUAGCAUACCACAAUUUACAAAGCUGUGCUUGUGGACUAGAAAAGUUACAUCACAUGACUUCCUGCCUAACUGUGCAGCACACAUUUAUUUGGUUACCGGUAAUGUGCAGUUCAUUAUAGAAGGAGGAACAAAUAUCCUAAAUAAGUAAAACAUUCAUGUAUAUCCUUUGCCUCAAUAAUGGCUGGAUAUAAAAGCAAGCCAAAUGCAUCCAGAUGUUGAUCAUGGCAACAUCUGCACUGGGAGGAAUCGGGGCUUCAACUUGGGAUUGUCUGAGUCCUCUUGUCUUUCUGCAACUCUUGCAGUCUGUGGAGGUAUUCCUGGCAAGACAAGACAGAAAUCGAAACCUGCCGCUCAAAGAAUUGAAGGUAUGUCAGGAAUUAUAAAUGAACUGUUAGGGACUUGUGUGCAUUGCAACAGUGUUUAAUAUUCGAUUCAAAAAAAUUCAUUAAAAAAAACUGACAUUUACACACAGGCAGCACAGAAUGAGGUAGCAUUCACACAUACAUACAAAAAUGGACGAGAUAUAAUUUUAAUAAACUUUUUGACUUGACAUUGCAUCAUAAACAUGAAAAAUAUUAAAAUAUCUUAUGUUCCACAGAAGAAAAAGUCUUACAGAUUUGGAACAACAUGGUGGUGCGUAAAUGAUUAAUUAUAUUCUCUUUAAUGACAGUUAUUGAAAGUAGUUUUUAUUUUAUAAUUAUAAUAUUUAUAAUUGUAAAAUGGAUUGCUGUGGACUGUGAUAAGCUUAUGUUCAUUGAUAUGAAAUAAUCACUGACAUUUUGAAAUAUCAAUUCAAUGCUUUAUCAUCUGCCACAAUAAUAAUGUCUUUGAAUCAUCUUCAUUUUCAUAAAUGCAAUUAACGCAUCAUCUAAUUAGAUUAAAUAUGCACACAAACAACUCAAUGUUUUGUGCUUUCUUGUGUAAAAUGUGCAAAUAUAAGUAUAAAAAAUA